GCUAACAGGUGGGUGGUUAAAGUGAUUAUCCAAGAUUCUACCCAGUCGUCUAGGCACUUUGGUCGUCGAAACAAUCUCAUAGUCUUAAAGUGGAAUUGUCAUAUCUUGGCAGUAAAUUAUUUGCCGUUCCUGUUUGAAGUUUGGACAGAUUGGCUGCAGAAUUUAGUUUUUUCUGUCGUUUGCAUGCAAAAUUCCAUUCACAAUUAAUCAAGAACUGCACAAAAUAUGGGAGUUCAGAAGCUUUGUUUUUUGCUGACUUCUGUUAUGAUUCUGUCCUUACUACUCGGUUGUGGGUCAGAAGCGACCAUCUACAGUGGUCGGUCUCCCGGUAAUCGCCGAGAUUCAGCUUCAGAGACAUCGAGUGGGGACGAAAAACUGCAAACGCUUAUCUCUCUGGAACCCUAUUAUAAGUCAACUCCGCAACCACCACUGCAACGGCGGAAACUGCCGAAGAAUCCUUACGCCGAUUAUGUUGAUUAUUACUCACGAAUGUUAUAAUUUUUUACUUCCUCCGUCUUGUUGUUCUGUCCAUGUGCGAUAGAGAUUAAUACAUCUCGGCUUAUAUCAGGA